rnacentral:rRNA from 1 species
UGAGUAAUUUGCCCUUCUCUUUGGAAUAAGCGUUGGAAACGACGUCUAAUGCCGAAUACGACCUCCUUUCGCAUGAUCGGAGGUGGAAAGCUCCGGCGGAGAAGGAUGAGCUCGCGGCCUAUCAGCUAGUUGGUGUGGGUAAUGGCCCACCAAGGCGACGACGGGUAGCCGGCCUGAGAGGGUGACCGGCCACACUGGGACUGAGACACGGCCCAGACUCCUACGGGAGCA